GAUGAACGCCAGCGGGACGCUUAACACAUGCAAGUCGCGGGGCAGCAUAUAGUAGCAAUACUUUGAUAGCGACCGGCGUACGGGUGAGUAAGGCGUAUGUAACCUACCCUGUACCGGGGGAUAGCAAGGAGAAAUUCGGAUUAAUACCCCCUAAUGAUAUCGACCGGCAUCUUAUGAUAUUUACCGCUUCGGCGGUACGCGCUGGGCAUGCGUGACAUUAGCUAGUUGGUAAGGUAACGGCUUACCGAGGCUGCGAUGUGUAGGGGUCCUGAGGGGGUGAUCCCCCACACUGGUACUGAGACACGGACCAGACUCCGACGGGAGGCAGCAGUGAGGAAGAUUGGUCAAUGGGCGUAAGCCUGAACCAGCCAUCCCGCGUGAAGGAAGAAGGCGCUAUGCGUCGUAAACUUCUUUUCCAGAGGAAUAAAAUUUUGUACGCGUACAGAACUGAAGAUACUCUGGGAAUAAGCAUCGGCUAACUCCGUGCCAGCAGCCGCAGUAAUAC
rnacentral:rRNA from 1 species